AAAGUGAAUAUAUUUACCUUGGAUUCUAAGAAGAAAAAACAAAAAAAAUCAUCAUCCUCUCUUUCAUGUUUUUCCCCUAAAAAACGUCUCUCUCCCCUCUAUUUGACACGUCUCCCUAUUUCACUCACUCACAUCUCUCUCUCACGAAUCCACUCACAUUCCACACACCAACCACGCCUCACUCCUUUUCUCCUUCCGUUACAAAUCCCUGACCCUCUCCUUACAAACCUAACAGACAUGAUU
rnacentral:lncRNA from 1 species